ACACUGGAGUACCACUGGCUGUCUGUUUGGAAAGUCCAUUUUUGGCAGGAUCUUGCUGUUUUCACCUUCCUUUUGAAAGUUAGAAACAUAGGAAAUAGCUGAAUUCUGAUCAAUCGAAUAUAUGAGACUGGCUUGAAGCUUCGGCAGUCUCCUUUUUGAUGUUUUGAAGUUAUUCUUUGAAAAGU